GGCGAACGGGUGAGUAAAAGAGAGCAACCUGCCCCAGGCUUUGGGAUAACCCCGGGAAACCGGGGCUAAUACCGAAUAUUACCUUGCGCCGCAUGGUGUUGGGUGGAAAGUUUUUCGGCUUGGGAUGGGCUCGCGGCCUAUCAGCUUGUUGGUGGGGUGAUGGCCUACCAAGGCGACGACGGGUAGCCGGCCUGAGAGGGCGACCGGCCACACUGGGACUGAGACACGGCCCAGACUCCUACGGGAGGCAGCAGUGGGGAAUAUUGCACAAUGGGCGGAAGCCUGAUGCAGCGACGCCGCGUGAGGGAUGACGGCCUUCGGGUUGUAAACCUCUUUCAGCAGGGACGAAGCGUAAGUGACGGUACCUGCAGAAGAAGCGCCGGCCAACUACGUGCCAGCAGCCGCGGUAAGACGUAGGGCGCGAGCGUUGUCCGGAUUUAUUGGGCGUAAAGAGCUCGUAGGCGGCUUGUCGCGUCGACUGUGAAAACCCGCAGCUCAACUGCGGGCCUGCAGUCGAUACGGGCAGGCUAGAGUUCGGUAGGGGAGACUGGAAUUCCUGGUGUAGCGGUGAAAUGCGCAGAUAUCAGGAGGAACACCGGUGGCGAAGGCGGGUCUCUGGGCCGAUACUGACGCUGAGGAGCGAAAGCGUGGGGAGCGAACAGGAUUAGAUACCCUGGUAG
rnacentral:rRNA from 1 species